CCUACGGGCGACAGCAGUGAGGAAUAUUGGUCAAUGUGCGUAACCCUGAACCAGCCAAGUCGCGUGAGGGAUGAAGGUUCUAUGGAUCGUAAACCUCUUUUAUAAGGGAAUAAAGUGUGGGACGUGUCCUAUUUUGUCUGUACCUUAUGAAUAAGGAUCUGCUAACUCCGUGCCCGCAGCCGCGGUAAUACGGAGGAUCCGAGCGUUAUCCUGAUUUGUUGGGUUUAACGGGUGCGUCGGCGGCCUUUUAAGUAAGCGGUGAAAGGCUGUGGCUCAACCAUAGAAUUGCCGUUGAAACUGGGGCGAUUGAGUAUGUUUGGGGCAGGCGGAAUGCGUGGUGUAGCGGUGAAAUGCUUAGAUAUGACGCAGAACACCGAAGGCGAAGGCAGCCUGCCAGGCCAUGACUGACGCUGAUGCACGAAAGCGUGGGGAUCAAACAGGAUUAGAUACCCUGGUAGUC
rnacentral:rRNA from 1 species